AUACGGAGGGGGCUAACGUUGCUCGGAAUUACUGGGCGUAAAGGGCGUGUAGGCGGGACAUCAAGUUAGGCGUGAAAGCCCCGGGCUCAACCCGGGAACUGCGCUUGAUACUGGUGACCUAGAGUCCGUGAGAGGGUGGUGGAAUUCCCAGUGUAGAGGUGAAAUUCGUAGAUAUUGGGAAGAACACCGGUGGCGAAGGCGGCUACCUGGACCGGUACUGACGCUAAGGUGCGAAAGCGUGGGGAGCAAACAGGAUUAGAUACCCGAGUAGUCC
rnacentral:rRNA from 1 species